GGGGCUGAUUCUGGAUUCGACGGGAUUUGCGAAACCCAAGGUGCAUGCCGAGGGGCGGUUGGCCUCGUAAAAAGCCGCAAAAAAAUAGUCGCAAACGACGAAACCUACGCUUUAGCAGCUUAAUAACCUGCUUAGAGCCCUCUCUCCCUAGCCUCCGCUCUUAGGACGGGGAUCAAGAGAGGUCAAACCCAAAAGAGAUCGCGUGGAUGCCCUGCCUGGGGUUGAAGCGUUAAAACGAAUCAGGCUAGUCUGGUAGUGGCGUGUCCGUCCGCAGGUGCCAGGCGAAUGUAAAGACUGACUAAGCAUGUAGUACCGAGGAUGUAGGAAUUUCGGACGCGGGUUCAACUCCCGCCAGCU
rnacentral:tmRNA from 3 species